GGGCCCGCACAAGCGGUGGAGUAUGUGGUUUAAUUCGAUGCAACGCGAAGAACCUUACCAGGGUUUGACAUCCUGCGAAUCUCUUGGAAACAGGAGAGUGCCUUCGGGAACGCAGUGACAGGUGGUGCAUGGCUGUCGUCAGCUCGUGUCGUGAGAUGUUGGGUUAAGUCCCGCAACGAGCGCAACCCACGUCUUUAGUUGCCAGCAUUUAGUUGGGCACUCUAGAGAGACUGCCGGUGAUAAACCGGAGAAGGUGUGGAUGACGUCAAGUCAUCAUGCCCCUUACAUCUGGGCUACACACGUACUACAAUGGCCGAGACAAAGAGUUGCAAGUCUGCGAAGGCAAGCUAAUCUCAUAAACUCGGUCUC
rnacentral:rRNA from 1 species